rnacentral:rRNA from 1 species
UACGUAGGGGGCAAGCGUUGUCCGGAUUUAUUGGGCGUAAAGAGCUCGUAGGCGGCUCGGUAAGUCGGAUGUGAAACCUCCAGGCUCAACCUGGAGACGCCAUCUGAUACUGCCGUGCUGAGGCCGGUAGAGGAGCAGGGAAUUCCUGGUGUAGCGGUGAAAUGCGCAGAUAUCAGGAGGAACACCGGUGGCGAAGGCGGGUCUCUGGGCCGACAUUGACGCUGAGGAGCGAAAGCGUGGGGAGCGAACAGG